CCUACGGGAGGCAGCAGUGAGGAAUAUUGGUCAAUGGGCGCGAGCCUGAACCAGCCAAGUCGCGUGAGGGAAGACGGCCCUACGGGUUGUAAACCUCUUUUGCCGGGGAGCAACGGGCGCCACGUGUGGCGCCACUGAGAGUACCCGGAGAAAAAGCAUCGGCUAACUCCGUGACAGCAGCCGCGGUAAUACGGAGGAUGCGAGCGUUAUCCGGAUUUAUUGGGGUUAAAGGGUGCGUAGGCGGGGCGUUAAGUCAGUGGUCAAAUUGAGGGGCUCAACCCCUUCCCGCCAUUGAAACUGGCGCGCGUGAGUGGAAGAGAGGGAUGCGGAAUGCGUGGUGUAGCGGUGAAAUGCAUAGAUAUCACGCAGAACCCCGAUUGCGAAGGCAGCAUGCCGGCUUCCUACUGACGCUGAAGCACGAAAGCGUGGGGAUCGAACAGGAUUAGAUACCCCUGUAGUC
rnacentral:rRNA from 1 species